rnacentral:rRNA from 1 species
GACAGAGGGUGCUAGCGUUGUUCGGAAUUACUGGGCGUAAAGGGCUCGUAGGCGGCCAACUAAGUCAGACGUGAAAUCCCCAGGCUCAACCUGGGAACUGCGUCUGAUACUGGAUGGCUUGAAUCCGGGAGAGGGAUGCAGAAUUCCAGGUGUAGCGGUGAAAUGCGUAGAUAUCUGGAGGAACACCGGUGGCGAAGGCGGCAUCCUGGACCAAUUCUGACACUGAGGAGCGAAAGCCAGGGGAGCAAACGGG